GCCGGCCGCGCCGCGCCCGCCGCUCUCGCCGCUUUCGCCGCGGUCUCCUCCUCUAGCGCCCGCCGCGGCCGGUAAAUCUCGGCUGGAGGAGCAGCGGCGGCCCCCGAGUCAACUUUCAUUCCCUUUUUGCUUCUGCCUCACCAUUCUCUUCUCCUCCUCGAAAGAUGGCUGUUUGGAGAAGGGGGAGAAGUUAAGAGGUCGCCAGCGCGGAGCGAAGGAGGGCGCGAUAGCCUCAGCAGGAGCGGGCGGAGGUUUCUCCUCUGCCAACCCCUCCUGGACCAUUGUCAGCAGUUGAACGACAAAGGCUGUGAAUCUGCAUCCUAGUCUUAGCAGUCCCUCUGAUUCUCAUGAUGAGCUCACCUGCACAGCCUGAAAUGAGGUCUUACUGUGUUGCCCAGGCUGGUAUCAAACUCCAGUGAUCAAGUGGUCCUCCUACCUCAGCCUCCCAAACAGAUAUGACAGCUGCAUAGAUUCAACCUACUAUGAAAAGCCAAAACAUGGAAUAUUACACUAAUUAAACGGUUACACAACAGAACAUGGAAUGUGCGACACUUCAUCUUGGGAUGCAAAUUUUUGUGCUAAAAAAAACUGAGAAAAACAAAAAGAAAAACAUGUAUUUCUGAGGAACUUGUUUUUAUAUCUGGCAUAAAUGAGAAAAAGCUAAUUAAAACUAUUAAUUAUCAGAAAAUUGAAGAUAAAGUUGAAGAGCCUAUACCAACCAAAGUUGAAUAAAUG
rnacentral:lncRNA from 1 species